AGGGUUUGAUCAUGGCUCAGAACGAACGCUGGCGGCGUGGAUAAGACAUGCAAGUCGAACGGGAGUUUGUUUAUAGCAAUAUGAGUGAACUCUAGUGGCGAAAGGGUGCGUAACACGUAGCUACCUACCUCGAAGUUGGGGAUAGCUCGGCGAAAGCCGGAUUAAUACCGAAUGUGAUCGUAAGAUCAAAGCUGGGGAUCGUAAGACCUGGCGCUUUGAGAUGGGGCUGUGGCCUAUCAGGUAGUUGGCGGGGUAAUGGCCCACCAAGCCUAAGACGGGUAGCUGGUCUGAGAGGACGACCAGCCACACUGGAACUGAGACACGGUCCAGACACCUACGGGUGGCAGCAGUCGAGGAUUUUUCUCAAUGGGGGAAACCCUGAAGGAGCGACGCCGCGUGAGGGAUGAAGGUCUUCGGAUUGUAAACCUCUGUCAUCUGGGAACAAUGUAAUCUACCUAACACGUGGAUUAUUGAUAGUACCGGAAGAGGAAGCAGUGGCUAACUCUGUGCCAGCAGCCGCGGUAAUACAGAGACUGC
rnacentral:rRNA from 1 species